GCAGCCGCGCUUUGGGGCGUCGGCUCACGUGGGGCCGGCAACGCGUCUUCCAGGAUGUUCGCGCGCUAGUCGCCGCUGAGGGGCCGGCGAUGCGCGAGGAGUUCCGGCGAGGAAGGUCGGUCAGUGGACAUGGCCGAGGCCCGCGGUGUCCGCGUGUGGGAGCUGCAGGGCUGAGGAGAGGCCGCCCGCAACCCUCGGGAAUCGUAGACGAGGUCUCACUAUGUUGGCCAGGUUGGUCUCGAAUUCCUGGCCGCAAGCCGUUCUCCAGUCUGGGCCUCCCAAAGUGCUAGGAUUACAGGAACAGAAUUGCCAUUGGGCCCAGGGAGAGACUACACUUCUUGUCUGCUUUGUUGCUAGUGCGGCCUUGUGGCCAAGCACAGAACGUGUGCAGUGAUGAUGGUGCAACUUCUAGGUCGUCCCCAGCAUGGAAAAUGAGCCCUGGGCAUGGAAGAUGAGCCCUGGUCCUGCAGCGGUGCUCUUUCCUCUUCUCACAAGCUGGAAUGUGCAUGUGCUCCCACCCAGCUUUGACCAUGGGGCGAAAACAGUACUCUGCAGUCUGGCAGAGCAACAAGGUGGAAAGGGCCUGGGUCCUUGAGUGACGUCAUGAGCCCUCUCACUGUCCCGACUUUGGGACUGUUAUAUGAUAAGGACUUUCUGUGAGUCACUGUCUUUUAGAGUCUCUCUGUUUUAGCUGCCUGGACUUUAUCCUGAAUAAUAUGGCUGUUAUCAUGGGUAUAGUGUUACUAUGAGCCUCAUCUAAGUAAUUUCUACUCUGCCUUUGACCACUAAACUCAUGUUGGACAAGAGUCACUUAGCAUUAUUUUUUCCUCAAUGAAGAGGUUAAGAUGGAGGGAGCAGGAGAAAUUGAGGCCUGUGUUUUACCAGAAGGUGAAGGGCUGUCUUUGCCUUUCCUACAUUUAUGAAGGAUAAUUCUAGACAAAAACAUUAAGUUCAUAUCAAACCAUCUGCUUUGUGAAGCCAUGGGCUUUGCUAGAACUUUCUGUGACAUGACAUUUAUUAACCCGAGUCUACCUGGAAGUUAGAGCUGAGGAAGUUUUCCUAGAGUGGAAAAAGUCCAAUGCACUUGUAAAAGUCAGACCAAGCUCAGCUCAGAUUUCAGUUUUAUUAGAAGUAUGUCACCUUCCUGAGCCCUUAUUAUUUCCCCAUCUGUGAAAUGAGGACACCGUUCUCUCUUUCUAAGCAUUGCUGGGAAGACCACACACCACUGAGACAGAAGGUGGGGCUAGCGCAGUUCUGGGCAUUUUGUACACCCCCAACAAAUACUGAUUUAUUUCCUUCUUUUUCCUUGCUCAGAAAAAAUUGGAGAAGGCUUUAUUU
rnacentral:lncRNA from 1 species